rnacentral:tRNA from 1 species
GGGCCUGUAGUUUAACGGUAGAUCGCCGCUGUGGCAUGGCGGAGGUGGGGGUUCAAUUCCCCCCAGGUCCA